rnacentral:rRNA from 1 species
GUGGGGAAUAUUGGACAAUGGGCGAAAGCCUGAUCCAGCCAUGCCGCGUGUGUGAAGAAGGUCUUCGGAUUGUAAAGCACUUUAAGUUGGGAGGAAGGGCAGUAAGUUAAUACCUUGCUGUUUUGACGUUACCGACAGAAUAAGCACCGGCUAACUUCGUGCCAGCAGCCGCGGUAAUACGAAGGGUGCAAGCGUUAAUCGGAAUUACUGGUCGUAAAGCGCGCGUAGGUGGUUUUGUAAGUUGGAGGUGAAAUCCCCGGGCUCAACCUGGGAACUGCCUCCAAAACUGCAUGACUAGAGUACGGUAGAGGGUAGUGGAAUUUCCUGUGUAGCGGUGAAAUGCGUAGAUAUAGGAAGGAACACCAGUGGCGAAGGCGACUACCUGGACUGAUACUGACACUGAGGUGCGAAAGCGUGGGGAGCAAACAGGAUUAGAUACCCGAGUAGUCC